UGCCUUGGGAACUCUGAGACAGGUGCUGCAUGGCUGUCGUCAGCUCGUGUUGUGAAAUGUUGGGUUAAGUCCCGCAACGAGCGCAACCCUUAUCCUUUGUUGCCAGCGGUCCGGCCGGGAACUCAAAGGAGACUGCCAGUGAUAAACUGGAGGAAGGUGGGGAUGACGUCAAGUCAUCAUGGCCCUUACGAGUAGGGCUACACACGUGCUACAAUGGCGCAUACAAAGAGAAGCGAACUCGCGAGAGCAAGCGGACCUCAUAAAGUGCGUCGUAGUCCGGAUUGGAGUCUGCAACUCGACUCCAUGAAGUCGGAAUCGCUAGUAAUCGUAGAUCAGAAUGCUACGGUGAAUACGUUCCCGGGCCUU
rnacentral:rRNA from 1 species